UACGGGGGGGGCAAGCGUUGUUCGGAAUUACUGGGCGUAAAGGGUUCGUAGGUGGCUUGCUAAGUCAGACGUGAAAUCCCUCGGCUCAACCGGGGAACUGCGUCUGAGACUGGCGAGCUUGAGUGCAGGAGAGGAACGCGGAAUUCCAGGUGUAGCGGUGAAAUGCGUAGAUAUCUGGAGGAACACCGGUGGCGAAGGCGGCGUUCUGGACUGCAACUGACACUGAGGAACGAAAGCCAGGGGAGCAAACGGG
rnacentral:rRNA from 1 species